UAAGGAAUAUUGGACAAUGGACGCAAGUCUGAUCCAGCCAUGCCGCGUGAAGGAUGAAUGCCCUCUGGGUUGUAAACUUCUUUUAUAGGGGAAGAAAGAUACUUUUUUUAAGGUAGUUGACGGUACCCUAUGAAUAAGCACCGGCUAACUCCGUGCCAGCAGCCGCGGUAAUACGGAGGGUGCAAGCGUUAUCCGGAUUUACUGGGUUUAAAGGGUGCGUAGGCGGGCAUGUAAGUCAGUGGUGAAAUACCGGAGCUUAACUUCGGAACUGCCAUUGAUACUAUAUGUCUUGAAUAUUGUGGAGGUGAGCGGAAUAUGUCAUGUAGCGGGGAAAUGCAUAGAUAUGACAUAGAACACCGAUUGCGGAGGCAGCUUGCUACGCAAAUAUUGACGCUGAGGCACGAAAGCGUGGGGAUCAAACA
rnacentral:rRNA from 1 species